GUGGCCACUCCUGUUGCACAAGCACACAGCCUGAGCAGCAUCUGCUGAGAUGCGACUGGAGACCAGUGGCUCACCCCAGGGCUUUCGGGAAAUGAAAAAGAAUCUAGUAGAACCAAGAGUCUCAAGCCGAGUAAUCGCUAGCUAGGAUUCCGCGUGGAUUCCACUCUCUAUUUUACAGAUUGGACUCUCCAGUCUCAGGGUCGUGACCAAGCAAGCCUCCCGGAGUGACAAGCUGGGAAUCACCGCGCCGCAGUGACCAACAAGGGAAGUCUGACACCUUGAGGACGCGAGAGGGGGUGCCGGGACCCCCGGGAGCCGGAGAGGGAGAAGCUUUGCCCUCCCCUCCCCCGCCUCGCGCGGCAUCACUCUCAGAGCAUCCUCACUCCGCCCAGUUCGGUGCCAGCUGCGUGGGCUCCAGCUUCGUGCGUUUUCCUUGGAAUGCUCGGAAACUCGGCGAAGACUAAGGAGAUCCCGUCGGAAUUUGCCGGGCGUGCUGGCACCGGGCAAAGCACUCGCGCCGCCGGCCUCGACUCCAACCCCCUUCAGCCAGAAGAUCGCAACUUUGCAGGGGAUCUUCCAGACCCAGGGGUUGAACCCUGGGGUUUCCUGCAUUACAAGCAGAUGCAUUACCAUCUGAGCCACCAAGGAAGCCUUCAGGAGCACCUGCCAUAAAGCCAGACUUUCCUUCCAGUGGAACAUCAUGGCCACCAAGCCCAGGAUUCAUCCUAGUUGUGGGUAUCAAUAGCUUGUUCCUUUAAAUUCCUAGUAGUGUUCCUUCAUGUGGGUGACCAGCUUUCAUUAACAGUUGGGAGAACACCAUGGACAAGCUGGAGGGAAGCUGAGCUCACUUGCCCACAAGGCUACCUAUCCAAGACCUAAGCCUCUGUAGCUACACACCCAGUCUUCUCACCAGGAAGCCCAUAGAGUUCGUCUGACUGUGGGAAUCGAGGCCCAUGCAAUGGGGCUGUGAUGGAACUUCAGUUCCUCUUCUGAUAUAUCUGGAGGGAGGUAGCCAGGCUCUUUCCCUGUAAUUGUGGGGUGCCAUCUGGAGCACUUUGGGGUUAUAACCUUUACCCAAGACAGUCCUUGAGGAAAGAGCAUGUGGUCAGGGUCUUUCAAACCUGACCUAGAAGGCCAUUUCAUUUCUUUUCCAAAGACCUAAAAAAAACAAAUAAUUUAGUGCUUAAUUUUUUGUGACCUCAGUACGACUUAAUUUCAUUUCCACACCCCAUUUGGAUUUGCGAGAAAGCCAUCAUGCCACUUUUCUCUUAAUAGUACUAAUGACCAAGAGCGUCUUAUCAUGGACCCGAAGGCUUUCUUGGAUGAUUUCAAUAAAUAUUCAGUUGUCUCCUAACUGGAUCUGCAUUUACCUAGAUAAUGGGAUGUGAGUGGGGUGUAAAAUUGGAGGGAUCUGUCUAUCAGGUGGCA
ensembl:lncRNA